UCGGGAAUUUUGGGCAAUGGGGGAAACCCUGACCCAGCAACGCCGCGUGAAGGAUGAAGUAUUUCGGUAUGUAAACUUCGAAAGAAUAGGAAGAAUAAAUGACGGUACUAUUUAUAAGGUCCGGCUAACUACGUGCCAGCAGCCGCGGUAAUACGAAGGGAGCUAGCGUUGUUCGGAAUCACUGGGCGUAAAGCGCACGUAGGCGGAUAGUUAAGUCAGGGGUGAAAUCCUGGGGCUCAACCCCAGAACUGCCUUUGAUACUGGCUGUCUCGAGGUCGAGAGAGGUUGGUGGAAUUCCUAGUGUAGAGGUGAAAUUCGUAGAUAUUAGGAAGAACACCAGUGGCGAAGGCGGCCAACUGGCUCGAUACUGACGCUGAGGUGCGAAAGCGUGGGGAGCAAACAGGAUUAGAUACCCCUGUAGUCCCUGAGCGGGCUGGCAAGGCGCAU
rnacentral:rRNA from 1 species